UGCAGCUGCCAGUCUUUUAGGGUAUGUCUCUACCAGCUUUGCACAUCUAGAGACUGAAAUCCUUGCCCGUUCUUCUUUGCAAAACAGCUCCACAACUGCCCUGUGAUGGCCUCAGAAGUUAACUACAGAAGUUAGACAAAGCAGAUUUCAGGCUUCUAAGUUUCAGUAAUAAGUUGCAGGUUCCUUACUGGCCUGACUGGUUUUUCCUCUUCAUCAGUUUAGUGUUGUUGCUCUACCACAUGACAAACAGUAAAAUCUCACGUGCAAAUGUACACGUUCACAAAAACUAAAAAGAAACACCUUCAUUGGGCACACCCAUGAACCAUUCACAAACACUACAUGCCAUAAUGGCACUGACCCAUACUUUGAAGAAAUGAGUGACAGCUGGAAGAAAUAAGAUCUUGGGUGUGUGAAGGCAGUUAGAUCUCUGCAUUCUACUUGAACAAUAACACAGUGUGGAAGGAAGACAUAUGGAAGUUACCUGUUAAGUGGUUAGAGUGGACUGCAUGAACAGAUGUGUAGAAUGACUCUUAAUGUGUUGUCAGGGUGGGGCUCCUGCUCUGGAAUAAUUGAGGCAUGUACAUCUUUUAGAGAUAAAAUUUUGUUUACAUUAAAACUUUCACAUUUUGCACGCCUAUAGCGCAAGGAUGUGAUAUUUGAAAAUUCUAUUAACUCUGCAAAAUAUAUAAUUACACAGUUUUUAUUACAAAUUCUACUACUCAUGGUAAUAGCAUUUAAUGACUAUUAACCAUUAUACAUGAAAAUUCUUAAUAAAUGACACUAGAAUAAGCACUAAACUGAUUAAGAACUUAAAUUUCACCCUAAUUUUCCCGUCUGUCCUUCUCACGUCUCCAGUGGUUGUACAUGUUGUCCAGGUUGAUGGCCUCGUCUGCUUGCAGCUUUGACUUCAUGCACAUCAGCUGGUCCAAAUGGUCCACUUCAAGACAAUUUCUGGAUGCUGUUUUGAAAUCUCUCUAGCUCCAAUGACACUAACCAAAGAAGAAGAAAAGAAGAAGGUCAACAAGGAUGCCAAAAGUAAAGAAUGCUCUAAAAACCCAGAAAAACUCAUUGUCAGUACAAGAAAUGGAAAAGAGGACAAAUUGCAGUUACAAACGAAUCAUCAAAAAAGAUUAAUGCAGUGAAUAACAGAAGAUCUUAAGCCAGAGACUACACAAGUCACUGCUACCGAAAUCAUACAACCAGUAAAGGCAAAACUGUAUUGCAUCAUAAUGGAGAACUGGUGAUGUGUAUGGCAAUGAUCAGGGGGAAAAAACAGUUUACAGAAUGGUUCAAUGACAAAAUAAAAACAAUAAAUACAAUCAAACAACUGGCAAGAGCAAAACUCCAGGAUCAACAUGUUCAGCCAGGAAAGACACGGCAGGUUUCUAGCAGAGUUGAGCUUUUCUUUCUUUAUAAGUUCAAAAGAUUAAAUAUUUUAAAACAUAAGAUGAAGUGAUAAAGAAUAACCACUUUGUGUUUGUUUGCUAUGUUAUAAGCGUCAAUUCUGUACUUUACAGCUCAAAUUUGUGUACAUGCUGGUAGUUGUUUGGUUUCUUCUGGUAUUCAAAGGGUUUCCAUGAUAUUUCUGUGAAAUAAUAAAUAAUAUAUUAUGAUUGUGAUAAAAUAAAUUAUUUUGUGAAAUUAUUUGAUAAGCGCACAUUAAAGCACACUGUAAAGAGAAAAACGCGAAAACAGGGAGAACAAACAGACAGAAAGCCCCCAGGUUUGCUGUGAAGUGACCAUUAUGACCACUGCACCAUCAUAACAUCUUUCACUUCCCUGUGCAAAUUCUAGAUCCCGAAUUUGCACAGGCAAAUUCACACACACAAACACACACACUUUCCACAUUUGCCUGUGCAAAUUCCAGAUCCUGAAUUAACACAGGCAAAUUCUUCAAAUGCAGAUUUUUGAAGUGUAAGUAAAAGAUGCUGUGGUGGCAUACUGACAAACAACAACCCAGAGACUCUGGAGACUCUGAAACUGCUUUACCGGCAUCACGGUGUACCCCUGUGUGGAAACCACAUUCCUGACUUUUUCUAUUGCUUUUUGAGAUAUGUAAAAAAAAAAUCUGAAAAGAAGACGGACAUUUUAUACGCAGAGUACAGCCACCACACCUUAGGAGAGCAGCGGAAACAAUUGUCUUUAUUUAUUGUUGUUCAAGGAUUAAAGGGCAAAAUAGAAACUUGUCUAUGAGAUUAGAUGUAUUUAAGAAGGUCUUAAUAGCAAAAACAUCAUUUAUUAAAAGCUUCUUUCUUCUCAGCUUAAGAACAGAAUCAAUAAAUUUUAGACUUACAGGAACUCGGAGUCUGAACCGACUACUGCAAGUGCUGUGUAAGGAAAAUACACCUUUUCACCUGGAAGUUGAGUACAUCUCGAUUUAUGACAAACAAGAAACAUUGAAGAUGCAAGCUCGUCGUUUUGACUACCCUGAAGUAAUGGAGGGUGAGGUAAGGAAUGGAUUCAGAGAAGAAACUCUGAUGGGAAACCCAGAGGUUCUCUAUGAAGACAGAAAACAAACUGGCAUAAGAUGCAACCUCAUUUUCUACACCAAAUCUGGAGCACACUACAGGGCUGCAAUAGAAGAAGCUUACCCUCAAUCCAACGCUAUUCGAAUGGAAAUAAACAAGAAACUCAAACUUAAGCUCUGUGAUGGAGGCACUGUGUCUAUAUUUGACAGUGGAAAGAUUUUGAUUCAAGGUAAAGAAGAAAUCCUUGAUGCAUUUGAGAACAGGUUUGACACAAUUAAACAAAGCGCAAAUAGGAGAAGAUAAGAACAGGUGUGGAAAACAUAGGAGCAAUUGAAAGUUGAAGAACCUGAUUCUGAAACAGGACAAACAAAAACAGUCUAAAUAAAAUUUAAAAAAGCAGGGAAAGACAGAGCCUCAGUUUUCUGUUAUUUAGGUACAUUAGAUGGGGAGAAAUCAAUAUGGGUAUUUGAACUCUUAAUAAGUGAUUAUACUGGAUAUUUUAUUCUGAUUUGCAAUACUUCUUUAUUCUUUUUAAAUUCUGUUACUCAUUACAUACAUAUGUUUUAGACUGGUGUCAGGAAAAGUAAAUAUGUUAUGAUUACAAACAUAAAAUUUAUGGUGUCUUGAUUCUAGCAGGACUGCAGCACACUGUCUUUCAGAACAUCAGUUUUUCACAGUUACUGAGAUUUAGAGUCUUUAGCUGCUCAAAUUAAGAUAAUGUCACAUCACCAGCAUUCAACAGUCCUGCAAGAGGAAACAUUAUAUAUAUAUGUGUGUGUGUAACCACGGAGAUAAAAGGUCUUAUGUACUGAAAGAAAUCAAUAAAAUUUGAUUAUUCAUGACUUUAACACUAAGAAAUUAUUUUGUGAAAUUGUUUGAUGAACACUCAGAAAAAAAAUCUCUGAAUGCAUGUAUGUGACUGAGUGAUUGAAUCUUGUAGCAUGAAAGUGUUUUGAAUGCUCAACUGACUAAAAAGGUGCUAUGUAAGUACCAACCUGAGUGUCAUGGUCAGUGAUGGGAAUAACGGCGUUACAAGUAACGGGGUUACUUUUUUCAGUAACGAGUAAUCCAAUUACUAUUUCUAUCUAGG